GUCACUUUGCCGGAGUGGUUAACGGGAUCGCCUGCUAUCUCAGGGUCAUCUGACCUAGGCUAACGUAAGCGGUUGGGCUUUGCCCGCGUGUGUUCGAAUCGCACAGGUGACG